rnacentral:misc_RNA from 1 species
CAGUAGACAUUAUCAGAUGCAUUGCUCGGAAUUGCUCGUAUCAUGUAUGUCGGAUCUAUGUAUUUAAGAGUUAUAGGCAUCAUCGGUUUGCCUGCAAAGUAAUUCUUAAUCUUUUGAGAUAACCAGUAGCCGACAUCAAGUAGCUGCUUAUUUCCGGAAGCAUCUGCAUCAUCCCUAGACCGCAUGCUUUCAGCAAUAAGCUCUUGCCCUGCACCCUCUGCAGCAACUAUAACCAUAUGACCGUUCUCUUUAAGUCGUUUUUCUAUAUAUUCGAAAAGCCCCCCUUUCCCUUCAAGAUAAAAGGGUGAUUCUGGAAUCAAG